AGAGUUUGAUCAUGGCUCAGAACGAACGUUGGCGGCAUGGAUUAGGCAUGCAAGUCGCGCGAAUGCCCGCAAGGGUGGAAGCGGCGUAAGGGGCAGUAAGGCAUGGAUAACCUACCCUGGGAUUCGGCAUAGCCCGUCGAGAGACGGGGUAAUUCCGAGCGAUGCGAUUGUCAGGCAUCUGGUGAUCGCCAAAGCUCCGGUGUCCUGGGAGGGGUCCAUGUGGUAUUAGCUAGUUGGUGAGGUAAUGGCUCACCAAGGCGGAGAUGCCUAGCGGGUGUGAGAGCACGACCCGCGCCACUGGCACUGAGACACUGGCCAGACACCUACGGGUGGCUGCAGUCGAGGAUCUUCGGCAAUGGGGGCAACCCUGACCGAGCGAUGCCGCGUGGGCGAUGAAGGCCUUCGGGUUGUAAAGCCCUGUCGAGGGGGAGAAACUUUGAUCUAUCCCUGGAGGAAGCUCGGGCUAAGUUCGUGCCAGCCGCCGCGGUAAUAC
rnacentral:rRNA from 1 species